CCUACGGGAGGCAGCAGUGAGGAAUAUUGGUCAAUGGGCGCGAGCCUGAACCAGCCAAGUAGCGUGAAGGAUGACUGCCCUACGGGUUGUAAACUUCUUUUAUAAAGGAGUAAAAUGAGGCACGUUUGCCUUUUUGUAUGUACUUUAUGAAUAAGGAUCGGCUAACUCCGUGCCAGCAGCCGCGGUAUUACGGAGGAUCCGAGCGUUAUCCGGAUGUAUGGGGUUUAAGGGGAGCGUAGAUGGGUUGGUAAGUCAGUAGUGAAAGUUUGCGGCUCAACCGUAAAAUUGCAAUUGAUACUGGCAGUCUAGAGUACAGGUGAGGUAGGCGGAAUUCGUGGUGUAGCGGUGAAAUGCUUAGAUAUCACGAAGAACUCCGAUUGCGAAGGCAGCUUACUAAACUGCAACUGACAUUGAUGCUCGAAAGUGUGGGUAUCAAACAGGAUUAGAUACCCUUGUAGUC
rnacentral:rRNA from 1 species